AAAAAAAAAUCAAAAAAAAAAUAACUUUAAUCGUGAAAUCGUCAUAAAUAUGAUCUUUAAAAAA
rnacentral:sRNA from 1 species